rnacentral:rRNA from 1 species
GAGCAUAGAACUUGUUUGUGCGGAGUAGAGAUUGUUAUUCUUGAAAAGGUUAGCUGGGUGACGGUUAGAGUUAUGACUAGGGUAACCUGUGUUAGAAACGAUACUGCACGAAUAUCUUUCCAAUCUUGGAUAUUAUUUUGCACACCGCCGUCGGAAGAUUUGUUUUAAUGAACUUAUCAUAAUAUUAUAAUAUAAGUCAGGUAAAGGUGCAGACUAAAGAUUGGUAAACAUGUGUCAUUAUAUACGUAUUAUAUCGAUAUAAUUUGAAACAAUUGUUUGUAAUAACUUAUAAGUAAACCAAUUUAAUUAAAAUUUAUUGAAUAGGUUAAUUCUAAUGU